UACGGAGGGUGCAAGUGUUAAUCGGAAUUACUGGGCGUAAAGCGCACGCAGGCGGUAUGUCAAGUCAGAUGUGAAAUCCCCGGGCUCAACCUGGGAACUGCAUCUGAUACUGGCAGACUAGAGUCUUGUAGAGGGGGGUAGAAUUCCAGGUGUAGCGGUGAAAUGCGUAGAGAUCUGGAGGAAUACCGGUGGCGAAGGCGGCCCCCUGGGCAAAGACUGACGCUCAGGUGCGAAAGCGUGGGGAGCAAACAGG
rnacentral:rRNA from 1 species